AAUAGGUGAAGUUUGUUGUAGUUCCAUCUCCUUACAGUUAUUACUUGCCUGUAGUAUUUUGGCACUGUGCUUUUUUACUCUGGUGAAACAUAAUCUGCAUUUUCAGAAUAUACAUCCAUACCCCUCCACAUGCUGGUGAGCAUCAAUAUUUUGUUUGUUUGUGAGAGUUUCUGGUUUUGCUUCUCCCUUGACACCCCACUUCUUUUGAUGAGGUCUCUCCCCUUACUCUCUUUUUCUUAUCCCAUGCACCUUUUGGACCCUUGUCUGUUUAUCCAUCUUGUUUCUGUUAACCUGCACCUGCUCCCUCUGUGUUCAUUUGGGGGAGUUCACUACUGCAGGGCUUCCACUCCCUGCCCUUUAUUGGCUUUAUCUCUUGCCUCAGACUGCAAUGGAGUUGUUUCACCUUAGGAUACCCCUGUGCUUGUCAGCCUGUGCUGCAGCAGGAACACAUGGUUCUGGGUCUGUUUUAAAUUUGAAGACAACCUUUUAACUUUCUUUUCUUCCACUGUUUCUUUGCAAUGAGUUGGCUAACAGUCCUUACUCCAUCAGAAUCACGCAAGUGCUUCGUUCUGUCUUGACUGGGACACUCAAAUACAGUUUUCAGGGAACUGUGUUGUUUUUCCACGCUCUAGGACUGGGUGACGCUGCUGAUGGCCUUUGGGAGCACUCUGGGACACAGCUACUCAAGCAGCAGCUUAAGCAAAGAUGAGAGGAUCUGGAUCAUGGCUUUCAGGAGUUGUGGGGGACACUUCUGCCACCUCCAUCUGCAGCAUGGUCCUGUCUGUGGAAAGAAAGGGAGCACCUGGAGCUGUUGCAGUGGUCUCAGAUCUACAGGUACUGCUUGCUGCCUGUCCAGAGGGAAAAAUGUGUAAGAACUGGAGUUUAACGACAUUUUAUUAACUCUUUUCCAUGGCUGGGGCCUCUCACAAGCCACGUGAAGAGUCCUGGACCAAAGCUUUAGUUGCGCUGUCGCUUUAAUCUGGAACAUGCGGCAGCACUGCUGAGUCACCCCUCCUUUCUCUACCCUCAUUUACUUACUCCUGCCCCUCCCUUAUGCUGGAACAAGCAUUGCUCUAGUUCUUUAGAAAACUGAUCUGCUUUAAAAAUGACACAUUUUCUUUAGCUGUGUUUACUGCAUCAGCACCAGCGCUUGUGCCAGUGCAACCCGAGUGCCUUUUGGAUGGCACUGCUGUUUGCUCCUGCCUGUGGGGUCACACUGCGGUUCUGCUCCUCACAAACACAGGGUUCAGCUCUGAAUCCCGGAAAGUAAAAGGUGGAAAUUCUUCAGACACAGUUUUGUAUCACUGAGGAGGCUGAUGUCCGUAAUUUUGCUGGUCCUGUGUCCACAAGGUGCCAACAGCACUGCUUGUAGUAACGUUACAAUAGGAAGUCUGUACGUGGCUGUCUGAAAACUGCAGAUUCAUUCUGGCUUUCUGCUUACUGCUGCACGCAAAGCUGUCUGUGUGGAACAGGGCCAGAAGACUUUGUGCUACAAAAUAUACAAAUAUAAGUACCUACCAGCUGUUCCACCCUUAUCUUCAACAAUGCCUUCCAUACAGGGCUGAAGAAUAUGCUCAUGCAAAUAAACGAUAGAUCUCACGAUCCAUUUAGGCAACUCUGUGCCAUCCCAGCUCCCAGAGGAUGCUACAGUGCCUGUGCUGGGGCUGUAUCCUGGCUUUUUACGUGGUUUGCGUGGCGUUUGCAGGGAGCCCUGCUGCCCACUUACCCUUAAUCAGUUACCUACCACAGAUUAUCCCCUCCACACGCCCUAGGAAGAAUGAGACCCAAUAUUUUUAGUUCCAAUCACUCCAUCUCCCACACAAGGAUAAUCAGAGAUGUGCUGAUGUCAGCUCUGAUGGCAGCAAAUGCAGCACCAGACCCCGAGGUCGCUGCUCUUGGGCCAAAGCAGCUAUUCCAGUUCAGUACCGUCAGGAAUUGCAGGGAACAGAGUCAGUAUUUGCCCACUUGAAAAAGGUUCUGGAGGAGACUUGACAAUGUUUUUCACAGGGUAAGAAAGUGAGAUAAAGUCUUAAGUGAACAGUUUCCAUUGUGUACUACAGGAGUAUUUUUAGACGUGAAAGGUACCUGCAAGAAGAAAUUUUUCACACAUUUAGUUCAAACUUAAAGUUCCUGUAGGAAAGGGGAAUAGUUCUAAAGAAAGAGUUUUUCAUUACUAUUAAACACCUCAAAUUUUAUAAGCAAACUGAAAACUAUUCAUCUUUUACCUCAAUGUUUAUAUAUGGAAAAAUAAUGGAUCCAUUUACUGCAUUAUUCCAUUGCAGUAUUCAGGCUAGAAACACAAUACAAAAGUCCUGCCUGCAUUAACUUCAUUAGCAUAAGCCAACUUUAAAGUCCGGGGAAAACAGGACUGCCUCUAAUAUUUUACACUAAUUAAAAUGCACGUACAUUUACACAUGUGAAAGAACUUGGCACGAACUGCUAAAACCAAACUGAUGUUGUAGGGUUUAAUUUCUUGCAUCUACAAGAAUCUACAGUUAUAAAAGUCUCAUCUUCAAACUUUACAGUACAUUUACAUUAGCAAAUACCCCGCAGCUCUCCUCACUCCUCCCCUUCUGUACAGAUCAUAUACAAUAAAAAGUUCCGGGUUUUUGUUGUACAAACAUCAUUUUACACUUUAAUACAGAUGAAAAUAUUGUCCUCUGGCACCUCAUUUCCUCCGUGGUGCCUGUGUAUGACAGUACAGAUCACUUUCAAUCCAUGCUUCUGAAAUCCUCAGCUCAAGUAACACGGACUGAUCAACAGGCCACAGCUUCUGCAACUCCGAAGUUUUAAAUAAUGAGAAAAAUCUCCCACUUGUUUGUAUAACAAUCAACAGUUUAUUAAUGGAUAUGGUGAAAUUUUAGCUAUCCACCAAAGAUGUGUAAAAAAUUGUCAUGAAAGUAAAAAUAAAUAAAGCUGUUUUUAAAUCA